ACCACUUCCCCGUCACCCUACAGCACCGCCCGUCACCCUCACACACCGCCCGUCACCCUCACACACCGUCCGUCACCCUCACACACCGCCCGUCACCCUCACACACCGCCCGUCACCCUCACACACCGCCCGUCACCCUCACACACCGCCCGUCACUCUCACACACAGCCUAUCUACCUCACACACCCACCACAUCACUCUCACGAACCAGCCAGUCUGCCGUCACAAUACCCCCUUGAUAAUCAACACAGGUCAAGGUAUCCUCAAUGGGGUGGGAGAAAUGGGCUACAUUUUCUAACAUAGAAAAAACGAAAAAGGACGUGAAACCCGCCCUUAGAAGGAGUAUUUAACAGUAAAGUGAGAUCAUACCCCCUAAGCUCACUUUAAGACGGCUCUGAGGCACGUACACACCGCCCGUCACCCUCACACACCGCCC
rnacentral:rRNA from 1 species